CAGUCGCAUCUAUAAUGCAGUCGAGCGAAUCCUUCGGGGGCUAUCGGCGGAGGGUGAGUAACACCUAGGCAACCUGCCCGUAAGCUCGGGAUAGCAUGGGGAAACUCAUGCUAAUACCGGAUAGGGUCUUCUCUCUCAUGAUAUGAGACCGAAAGGUGGCACAAGCUACCACUUACGGAUGGGCCUGCAGCGCAUUACCUAGUUGGUGGGGUAACGGGCUACCACGGCGACCAUGCGUAACCAACCUGAGAGGGUGACCGGCCACACUGGGACUGACACACGGUCCAGACUCCUACGGGAGGCAGCAGUAGGGAAUUUUCCACAAUGGACGAAAGUCUGAUGGAGCAACGCCGCGUGAACGAUGAAGGUCUUCGGAUUGUAAAGUUCUGUUGUCAGAGACGAACAAGUACCGUUCGAACAGGGCGGUACCUUGACGGUACCUGACGAGAAAGCCACGGCUAACUACGUGCCAGCAGCCGCGGUAAUACGUACGUGGCAAGCGUUGUCCGGAAUUAUUGGGCGUAAAGCGCGCGCAGGCGGCUAUGUAAGUCUGGUGUUAAAGCCCGGGGCUCAACCCCGGUUCGCAUCGGACACUGUGUAGCUUGAGCUGCAGAAGAGGAAAAGCGGUAUUCCACGUGUACGCGGUGAAAUGCAUAUGAGAUGUGGAUGGAACACCAGCUGGCCGAAGGCGGCUUUCCUGGUCUGUACUGACGCUGACGGCUGCGGAAGCGUGGGGAGCAGACACGAUUAGAUACCCAUGGCUAGUGCCACGUCCGUAACGAUGAGUGCUAGGUCGUUGGUGGGUGUUCAUACCCAUCAGUGCCGCAGCCUAACGCAUAAGCACCUCCGUCCUGGCGGGAGUACGCUCGCCAGGCAUUGGAAUCUCAAUGGAUGGACUGGAGGCGCGCCAAACCGAGUGCGAGCCAUGUCGCUUUGAUUUCGAAGUAGCG
rnacentral:rRNA from 1 species